AGCGAACGCUGGCGGCAGGCUUAACACAUGCAAGUCGAGCGGGCAUCUUCGGAUGUCAGCGGCAGACGGGUGAGUAACACGUGGGAACGUACCCUUCGGUUCGGAACAACUCUGGGAAACUGGAGCUAAUACCGGAUACGCCCUUAUGGGGAAAGGUUUACUGCCGAAGGAUCGGCCCGCGUCUGAUUAGCUAGUUGGUGGGGUAACGGCCUACCAAGGCGACGAUCAGUAGCUGGUCUGAGAGGAUGAUCAGCCACACUGGGACUGAGACACGGCCCAGACUCCUACGGGAGGCAGCAGUGGGGAAUAUUGGACAAUGGGCGCAAGCCUGAUCCAGCCAUGCCGCGUGAGUGAUGAAGGCCUUAGGGUUGUAAAGCCCUUUUGUCCGGGACGAUAAUGACGGUACCGGAAGAAUAAGCCCCGGCUAACUUCGUG
rnacentral:rRNA from 1 species